rnacentral:rRNA from 1 species
CCUACGGGCGGCAGCAGUGGGGAAUAUUGGACAAUGGGCGAAAGCCUGAUCCAGCCAUGCCGCGUGUGCGAAGAAGGCCUUCGGGUUGUAAAGCACUUUCAGUGGGGAAGAAAGCCUUGGGGCUAAUACCCUCGAGGAAGGACAGCACCCACAGAAGAAGCACCGGCUAACUCCGUGCCAGCAGCCGCGGUAAUACGGAGGGUGCGAGCGUUAAUCGGAAUUACUGGGCGUAAAGCGCGCGUAGGCGGUCUGAUAAGCCGGUUGUGAAAGCCCCGGGCUCAACCUGGGAACGGCAUCCGGAACUGUCAGGCUAGAGUGCAGGAGAGGAAGGUAGAAUUCCCGGUGUAGCGGUGAAAUGCGUAGAGAUCGGGAGGAAUACCAGUGGCGAAGGCGGCCUUCUGGACUGACACUGACGCUGAGGUGCGAAAGCGUGGGUAGCAAACAGGAUUAGAUACCCUAGUAGUC